GGAGUUAGCCGGUGCUUCUUCUGUGAGUGAUGUCCUUCCUGCCGGCUAUUAACCCGCAGGCCUUCUUCCUCACUGAAAGUGCUUUACAACCCGAAGGCCUUCUUCACACACGCGGCAUGGCUGGAUCAGGGUUGCCCCCAUUGUCCAAUAUUCCCCACUGCUGCCUCCCGUAGGAGUCUGGGCCGUGUCUCAGUCCCAGUGUGGCUGAUCAUCCUCUCAGACCAGCUACGGAUCGUCGCCUUGGUGAGCCGUUACCUCACCAACCAGCUAAUCCGACAUAGGCUCAUCCGAUAGCGCGAGGCCCGAAGGUCCCCCGCUUUCCCCCGUAGGGCGUAUGCGGUAUUAGCCUGGGUUUCCCCAGGUUAUCCCCCACUACCCGGUCAGAUUCCUAUGCAUUACUCACCCGUCCGCCGCUCGCCACCAGGGAGCAAGCUCCCCGUGCUGCCGCUCGACUUGCAUGUGUAGCUCGCCGCCACGCGUCAUCUGAGCAUGAUACAACUACUCGA
rnacentral:rRNA from 1 species